GCAUUCAGUCUCAGCUCGUUAGAGCAUGGUGCUGAUAAUGCAAAGGUUGCAGGUUCGAUCCCCGUAUGAGACA